UCGAUCUCCUGACCUCGUGAUCGGCCCGUCUC
rnacentral:piRNA from 1 species